rnacentral:rRNA from 1 species
AUUGAACGCUGGCGGCAUGCCUUACACAUGCAAGUCGAACGGCAGCACGGGGGCAACCCUGGUGGCGAGUGGCGAACGGGUGAGUAACAUAUCGGAACGUGCCCUGGAGUGGGGGAUAACUAGUCGAAAGAUUAGCUAAUACCGCAUACGAUCUACGGAUGAAAGUGGGGGAUCGCAAGACCUCAUGCUCGUGGAGCGGCCGAUAUCUGAUUAGCUAGUGGUGGGGUAAAGGCCUACCAAGGCAUCGAUCAGUAGCUGGUCUGAGAGGACGACCAGCCACACUGGGACUGAGACACGGCCCAGACUCCUACGGGAGGCAGCAGUGGGGAAUUUUGGACAAUGGGCGCAAGCCUGAUCCAGCAAUGCCGCGUGAGUGAAGAAGGCCU